rnacentral:rRNA from 1 species
GUGGAUGGGCGCAGCCUGAUCAGCAUGCCGCGUGUGUGAAGAAGGCCUUCGGGUUGUAAAGCACUUUUGUCCGGAAAGAAAUCGCACUUACUAAUAUUAGGUGUGGAUGACGGUACCGGAAGAAUAAGGACCGGCUAACUACGUGCCAGCAGCCGCGGUAAUACGUAGGGUCCAAGCGUUAAUCGGAAUUACUGGGCGUAAAGCGUGCGCAGGCGGUUGUGCAAGACCGAUGUGAAAUCCCCGGGCUUAACCUGGGAAUUGCAUUGGUGACUGCACGGCUAGAGUGUGUCAGAGGGGGGUAGAAUUCCACGUGUAGCAGUGAAAUGCGUAGAGAUGUGGAGGAAUACCGAUGGCGAAGGCAGCCCCCUGGGAUAACACUGACGCUCAUGCACGAAAGCGUGGGGAGCAAACAGGAUUAGAUACCCUGGUAGUCCACGCCCUAAACGAUGUCAACUAGUUGUUGGGGAUUCAUUUCCUUAGUAACGUAGCUAACGCGUGAAGUUGACCGCCUGGGGAGUACGGUCGCAAGAUUAAAACUCAAAUGAAUUGACGGA